rnacentral:snRNA from 1 species
GGAUGUGAGGGUGAUCUAGCUGUGACAUCUGUCGCUUCAUUGAUCGCCAGGGUUGAGUCGGCUGAUCUGUCUAGCUAGGUGGGUGUCCCCUUUCUCCCUCACAGCUCCAUGUGCAACCCUCCCAAAGCUGCAUGCUUGGUCAAAGAAGAUGACCUUCCCUGAUUAGAGGAGGACCCGUCUUCAGUCAAGGGGAUAUGAGAGGCUGCACUUCCCUCCAAAGAACCUCCAAACAAGAAGUUACAUCAAACAGCUAAGUCCUACUCACAUGAGCCAUGCUCAGCAGUGUUUGAUUGGAUGUGCUC